GGGGGCGUAGCUCAGAUAGUAGAGCAUUCGCUUGGCAGGUGAGAGGUACCGGGAUCGAUAUCCCGCGCCUCCA